UGGGGAAUAUUGGACAAUGGGCGCAAGCCUGAUCCAGCCAUGCCGCGUGGAUGAUGAAGGCCCUAGGGUUGUAAAGUCCUUUCGGCGGGGAAGAUAAUGACGGUACCCGCAGAAGAAGCCCCGGCUAACUUCGUGCCAGCAGCCGCGGUAAUACGAAGGGGGCUAGCGUUGCUCGGAAUCACUGGGCGUAAAGCGCACGUAGGCGGAUUCUUAAGUCGGUGGUGAAAUCCUGGAGCUCAACUCCAGAACUGCCUCCGAUACUGAGAGUCUUCGAGUCCGGGAGAGGUGAGUGGAACUGCGAGUGUAGAGGUGAAAUUCGUAGAUAUUCGCAAGAACACCAGUGGCGAAGGCGGCUCACUGGCCCGGUACUGACGCUGAGGUGCGAAAGCGUGGGGAGCAAACAGGAUUAGAUACCCCUGUAGUCCCUGAGCGGGCUGGCAAGGCGCAU
rnacentral:rRNA from 1 species